ACAGUGAGUGCAGAGCAAGAAAUGGAAGGGAAGAAAAGAGAUGGAAAUGUAUCUAGGUAUUCUUGUGCCUGAGGAUUGGCAUAGGAGCUAUUCCUUAUGCCUUUAGCCAGUAAUUCCAAAGGCCCCAUGGGACUUAAGCCUAUGUGGCCUCAGAUGGAUAAAGGAUACCCUCUGGUAAGUAGGGUGGAGUUAAAGCUCUUGCUAUUACUGUAA
rnacentral:lncRNA from 1 species